AAGAUUAAGCCAUGCAUGUCUAAGUACGAGCCUUCCUUAGGGUGAAACCGCAAACGGCUCAUUAAAUCAGUCAUAAUUAAUUGGAUGGCGGUUAUCCCCUUACUCGGAUAACUGUGGCAAUUCUAGAGCUAAUACGUGCGAUUGAGCUCCGACCCCGGGGGAGGAACUUUUAAUUUUUUAAUCGCUUUCUCCGCUCGGGGGAAGGGCGCAGUUAUUAGAAUCAUAAACCGAGGCGGACUCCCGAGUCCGCGGAUGCACUUGGUUAUGGUGACUCUGGAUAACGUUGCCAAGCGCUCAGGCCUCUGAGCCGGCGCUGCAUCUUUUCGAGUGACUGCCCUAUCAGCUUUCGAUCGUAGGAUAUAGGCUUACGAUGGCUGUUACGGGUAACGGGGAAUCAGGGUUCGAUUCCGGAGAGGGAGCCUGAGAAACGGCUACCACAUCUAAGGAAGGCAGCAGGCACGCAAAUUACCCAAUCCCAGUUCGGGGAGGUAGUGACGAAAAAUACCGAUGCGGGACUCAUCCGAGGCCUCGCAAUCGGAAUGAGUCUCCUUUAAAAAAGGGAGCGAGGAUCUAUCGGAGGGCAAGUCUGGUGCCAGCAGCCGCGGUAAUUCCAGCUCCUAUAGCGUAUAUUAAAGUUGCUGCGGUUAAAAAGCUCGUAGUUGGAAUUUCGGUCUGUUCCGGAGGCCCACCUAGGACGCGACCGCGCCUCGUUCAUUCGCCCCUUCGCUUCCCGUCGACGAGCCUUCUCGCGAGCGUCCGUUGAUGGUCCGCUAUUCCGCUGCUGCUACUCGCUCGGCGUUAGCUUCGUUCGCGAAGCGCGUCGUUCGUUGGAGUACGUACGCGUUAUACGCGGCUCUUUCAUCGGCCUACUUGAAAAGACGUCCGGGGUUCCAUGGGCGAUCGCGGCGGUGGCGGCGUUUUAGGUUUUCGCGCCCGGUGGUGGAUAAACCUUUCCGGUUACAGACUCGGUAUGUAAAACGAUUCGUUGGCGCAUACGGGGUGCUCUUUACCGAGUGUCUCGCGUGGCCGACGACGAUCACUUUGAACAAAGUAAAGUGCUCAAAGCAGGCAGUAACUUUAACACGCUUGAAUAGAAAUGCAUUGAAUGAUGGAAUAAGACCUCGGUCCCGAUAUUUGUUUUUUAUUUUUUUCUCGGUUUUUCCGGGACCCGAGGUAAUGAUUAACGGAGGCGGACGGGGGCAUUAGUAUUGCGGCGCGAGGGGUGAAAUCCAGUGACCGUCGCAAGACUACCUACUGCGAAAGCAUUUGCCAAGAACGCUUUCAUUAAUCAAGAACGAAAGUUAGAGGAUCGAAGGCGAUCAGAUACCGCCCUAGUUCUAACCAUAAACUAUGCCAACUAGCGAUACGCGUACAGUCAUUCCCAAGACUGCGCGGGAAGCUCCCGGGAAACCAAAGUCUUUGGGUUCCGGGGGUAGUAUGGUUGCAAAGCUGAAACUUAAAGGAAUUGACGGAAGGGCACCACCAGGAGUGGAGCCUGCGGCUUAAUUUGACUCAACACGGGAAACCUCACCAGGCCCGGACACCGGAAGGAUUGACAGAUUGAGAGCUCUUUCUCGAUUCGGUGGUUGGUGGUGCAUGGCCGUUCUUAGUUGGUGGAGCGAUUUGUCUGGUUAAUUCCGAUAACGAACAAGACUCUGUCCUACUAACUAGUCGGCGGAUCGUUUCCCGAGGCGGGGCUUUUACCCGAGGUGGGCGGUCGUCGGGGCGUCGCGGUCGCUUUCCCGGUUCGUUCCGCGUCGGGGUUCCCCUUUUUUUCGGGCGGCGUCGUCGUCGUCGUCUUUUGACGACGGCGGAGGCGUCGUUUCGGGGAGGGGGGCGGCUUCGGCGCGUUAAGGGGCGGAUCGGGGACCCGCGCUCUCGCCGUUCGCUGAGGGGGUCCCAACGAGGGGCGUCCGUCGUGUAAUAUCUUCUUAGAGGGACCGGCGGUCUUGAACCGUACGAGAAGGAGCAAUAACAGGUCUGUGAUGCCCUUAGAUGUCCUGGGCCGCACGCGUGCUACAAUGGAGGGAGCAGCGUGCUUUCCCCCUCCGAGAGGAGUGGGUAACCCGAUGAAACCCCUUCCCGAUUGGGAUUGGGGGUUGCAAUGGUUACCCAUGAACGAGGAAUCCCUUGUAAGCGCGAGUCAUGAGCCCGCGAUGAAUACGUCCCUGCCCUUUGUACACACCGCCCGUCGCUACUACCGAUGAAUGAUUAAGUGAGAGCGUUGGACCGGCGCCCUAGGGCAGCCCUCGGUUCGCUACGCGGCGCUCGACCGACGUUUUAGCUUUCGUUAGCUCUUCGUUUCGUCGUGCGUCGUCGACCGAGUCAGCGCCCCCCGGGCUUCGCCGGAAAGACGUCCGAACUUGAUUAUUUAGAGGAAGUAAAAGUCGUAAACAAGGUAUCUGUAGGUGAACCUGCGGAAAGAAUCAA
rnacentral:rRNA from 1 species